rnacentral:rRNA from 1 species
UACGGGGGGAGCAAGCGUUGUUCGGAUUUACUGGGCGUAAAGGGCGCGUAGGCGGUCAGCACAAGUCAGCUGUGAAAUCUCCGGGCUUAACUCGGAAAGGUCAACUGAUACUGUGCGACUAGAGUGCGGAAGGGGCAACUGGAAUUCUCGGUGUAGCGGUGAAAUGCGUAGAUAUCGAGAGGAACACCUGCGGCGAAGGCGGGUUGCUGGGCCGACACGUGACGCUGAUGCGCGAAAGCCAGGGGAGCGAACGGG